AGUGAACGCUGGCGGUAGGCCUAACACAUGCAAGUCGAACGGCAGCACAGGAGAGCUUGCUCUCUGGGUGGCGAGUGGCGGACGGGUGAGGAAUACAUCGGAAUCUGCCCAGUCGUGAGGGAUAACGUAGGGAAACUUACGCUAAUACCGCAUACGACCUUCGGGUGAAAGAGGGGGAUCGCAAGACCUCUCGCGAUUGGAUGAGCCGAUGUCGGAUUAGCUAGUUGGCGGGGUAAUGGCCCACCAAGGCGACGAUCCGUAGCUGGUCUGAGAGGAUGAUCAGCCACACUGGAACUGAGACACGGUCCAGACUCCUACGGGAGGCAGCAGUGGGGAAUAUUGGACAAUGGGCGCAAGCCUGAUCCAGCCAUACCGCGUGGGUGAAGAAGGCCUUCGGGUUGUAAAGCCCUUUUGUUGGGAAAGAAAUCUUUCAGGCUAAUACCCUGGGAGGAUGACGGUACCCAAAGAAUAAGCACCGGCUAACUUCGUG
rnacentral:rRNA from 1 species